AUUGGGCUUUAGGUCCAUAUUGAAUUUUGCAUACCCUCAAUUUCAUGUAUGCACCCUUGCUGUUUUCUUUUUAUUUAUUUAUUUAUUAUUUCAUUUAUUUAUUUAUUUGAUUAAUUUAAAUUGAUAGUUAAUUAAUUGAUGAUUUUGAUUAAUUAGUUGAUAGUUAGUUAAUUAAUUAUGUGUAAGUAGAUUAUUUAAUUAGUUGAUUUUUUGUGUUUAGUCG
rnacentral:lncRNA from 1 species